GUGGGGAAUAUUGGACAAUGGGGGGAACCCUGAUCCAGCCAUGCCGCGUGUGUGAAGAAGGCCUUUUGGUUGUAAAGCACUUUAAGCGAGGAGGAGGCUACCGAGAUUAAUACUCUUGGAUAGUGGACGUUACUCGCAGAAUAAGCACCGGCUAACUCUGUGCCAGCAGCCGCGGUAAUACAGAGGGUGCAAGCGUUAAUCGGAUUUACUGGGCGUAAAGCGCGCGUAGGUGGCCACUUAAGUCAAAUGUGAAAUCCCCGAGCUUAACUUGGGAAUUGCAUUCGAUGCUGGUUGGCUAGAGUAUCGGAGAGGCUGGUAGAAUUCCAGGUGUAGCGGUGAAAUGCGUAGAGAUCUGGAGUAAUACCGAUGGCGAAUGCAGCCAUCUGGCCUAAUACUGACACUGAGGUGCGAAAGCAUGGGGAGCAAACAGGAUUAGAUACCCGAGUAGUCC
rnacentral:rRNA from 1 species